CCCCAGGUCAGGCGGGACUACCCGCUGAGUUUAAGCAUAUAAAUAAGCGAAGGAGAAGAAAUUUACUAGGAUUCCCCUAAUAACCGAAUUGUAGUCUGGAUUAGAGUCCUCAGCGAAGGACCGAGCCCAACUCCCAUGGAAAGGGGCACCUGGGAGGGUGAGAGCCCCAUUCGGCAUGGACCCGAUCGCCCCAUGAGGCGCCGUCAACGAGAUUGGUUGUUUGAGAAUGCAACCCAAAUCGGGCGAUAAACUCCGUCCAAGGCUAAAUACAGGCGAGAGACUGAUAGCGAACAAGUACCACGAGGGAAAGAUGAAAAGGACUUUGAAAAGAGAGUCAAACAGUGCUUGAAAUUGCUGGGAGGGAAGCGGAUGGGGGCCGGCGAUGCGCCCUGGUCGUAUGCGUAACAACUUCGGCUGGUCCGCCAAUUUGAUCAGGGCGUGGACUGUUGUCGGCCACGCCGGUGGCCAAAGCUCGGGGGCCUCGCACCCCUCGUAGCCGUUGUCGGCGUAGCCGGUCACCGCGCGCCUCUGGCGCGCCCCUUGGGGUGCCACGCUGUAACAGCCUGCGGGCUCCCCAUCUGACCCGUCUUGAAACACGGACCAAGGAGUCUGACAUGCGUGCGAGUCGAUGGGUUCUGAAACCUAGGAUGCCAAGGAAGCUGAUGAGCGGGAGGCCCUCAUGGGCCGCAUCGCUGGCCAACCCUGAUCUUCUGUGAAGGGUUUGAGUUGGAGCACACCUGUCGGGACCUGAAAGAUGGUGAACUAUGCCUGAGCGGGGUGAAGCCAGAGGAAACUCUGGUGGAGGCUCAAAGUGAUACUAACGUGCAAAUCGUUCGUCUGACUUGGGUAUAGGGGCGAAAGACUAAUCGAACCAUCUAGUAGUUGGUUCCCUCCGAAGUUUCCCUC
rnacentral:rRNA from 1 species